AUGUAGGAGUCAGAUUUGGGUCUGUACCCCUGAUUCACAGAGCUCUCAAUAAAAGCACCUGCAGAUAAUCCUACCCUGUGAUUAUGUGUGUUCUGGAACGCUAACACCAUCAUUUCAGGAGCUCCCACCAGACUGGCUCUGAGAGCCUUUCCACAUGCAGUGGAGCCCUCCAGGGAUCUGCAGAGGCCACAGUUCCACCAGAGCUCUCUUUUCUUGAAGCAAAGUGUUGGAAAAGAGCUUGACAGGCUCUGACUUCAAGACUCUGCAAUUUGGGGAAGCUCAGUCCCUCUACUCAUAACUUCUCAUUCAGAAAGAAGAUGCCUUUCAGGAACCAUUUUUAAAUGUCUUUUAAUUUUUAAAUGCUUUAGUUCCUUCCCUGCAAAUCCAUCUCUCUGCUUUUGUGCACCAUCUAGUAACGUGCUUCCACACAGCCAUUUCUGAGUGUGCAAUAUCAACAUCUGUGCUAAAACCAAAGAGAAAUUUCUCCCUGAAGCAAAAUUUUGCUCUGUAUUAUUGUUACUUUUUUUUCCCUAUUUAAUGAUUUGCUUGUCAUGGGGCCUCUUCAGCCUCUUAUUUUCAGGAAAUGAAGAUUCUCUGCCUCUCGCUCCUUGUCAAAGACACCCUGGUAGGAGAGAGCAUCAUCACCCUUGUCCCAUCUCCUAAAAGCAUUUUACUUAGUGUCCAAUAAAACUGUGCUGCAGUAAAGCACCUCACUGAACUGGGUGCCUGAUAUGCAGCAGGUUGGCAGAAUUAAUUUAUUGGUGUUUGUACAGCCUUUUGAACUUCUCUUGUUACAUAGGUGUCAAUAAUGAUAAUAAAAAUAAAACCAUUAUUUUAUUAUUAUUUUUAUUAUUAUUGUGACUUUCUAUCAUAGCCAAUGAUGAACAUUCCCCUGUGCAGAUAUUUAAGAUAUCCAGUGGGAGAUGCUUUGUUCUUAAUUUUGAUUAUUUUAAGAAGUCCUUUAGCACAUCAAAUAAUCUCCCUAGGCAAGGAUUUAUAGGAAGGUCUUGAGAGCUGUCAGAGUAGUGUUUUUCCAGCAGUAAAAACUCAACCUCCUCUUUGAUUUUCAUUUGUAUUUUGUCCUGGGUGUAGCUGCAGCAAGUGCUCGGUCACAGCCAUCAGGAUGGAGGAGACGUGUUGUCAGUUGUUUUAUUUUUGAUCCCAUUUGAAUGUGUCAGUCAACUGCCUCGAAUCAAAGAAAGUGAGAAGGAGCCUUUAACAGUUGUGAUUGAAAACUUCAGACUUACCUUUUUUUUUCUUAUUUUUAUAGAUACUAAGUAAAUGGUUGGCAGGUUCUUGUGAAUCAUAACAUUUCUAAAUAUAUCAAAGAGGCUUUUUGCCAAGCUGCUGGAGAAGGUGGUGUCUGCUCCUAUUGACUCCUUUCUCCCCUUCAGAUUACUUUUGCAUUUAAUAAUCAUAAUGAAAAGAAUCAAGGACUCUUAACUAGGCUGGCUAAGGCUGUGAUUAAUGAAAGUGUAAUGCAAGCUACUGUACAGCCAUUAGAAACCAGUUAGCUAAUUAGUGUAAUCACAGAGGUGGAAAUAAUUAAGAGACCAUAAAAUAGAGGUAACCUAAUAACAAUGUUUUUCUCUGACCCAGAACUGGCGAGAAAAGGAUGCUUUGUUAGGUUAGGAACAGAGAGGAGUGAAGAUGGAAUAUUCUGUGAGUAAUCACUGUCAGGGAGGUCUCAGAGCACAGACAAGUAGAACACAGCAGAUUUUACUCCAACAUAAUCCAGAUUGCAGCAGAAUCCUCUGGCAAUGGUGCUUCACACCUCUGCAUCCCUCUCCCAUCCUAUGCACUGCCACAAUUCAGUGACAGACAAUCAAGACAGCGUGAGGCAGGAGCUGGCUGCCUUGUUCUGUCUUACUUUGUUCCCUUUCUUCUUUCCUAGGUUAUUAGCAAAUAUAAUAUUAAAACUAACUUCACCUUGCAGUGCCAGGUUUGAUUUCAGGAAAAGGAGAAAUCAGUGUCCUAAGGUGUUUAAGAAGAAAAUCCUGUUAGAGGAUUCACUAUAUUUAUAGAGCUCCUAGUGUAUUCAUGUAUGUUAUUCACUAUAGCUUCACAGGACUCUACAGAGUCUUUCUGGGCAGAGAAUGAUGCAGUGAUCCAUAAGGGUGGCAGUCACUUCCAGAGCUGCUCCCAGGACAUGGGUGCCAACCAGAUGUUUCAUCCCUUCACCCCUCACCUGCUGCUUUUGCACCCAGCACACUGGAUGCUGCACAACCCCAAAAUGUGCCUGAGCACUCCCCAUGUGGGACUGUCCAGGUCCAUGAGAGGUGGGCUGGAUCUCACCCUUGGGGAUUAGAAGUGACCUAUGUCUGGCUGGUGGAUGAAACAGCUCCAUGUAAGAGGCAAUAAAAAUUCCUAACCCAUAAUUUUCCAUCUGGAAUGGGUCACCACUAUGCCCAUCUCCAUUGGUUCUUAGCAUUUCUGCCACGGUUUGUGUGUGUUUCGUUUGACCUGGGUCUAAUGAGCAGAGAAGAGGAACGGAGCUGCAGACACACAAUCAAGGCUCAGCCGCCAAGGCUGAUGAGUCUGCCGAGACUGCUAAGUGGGUCUUCAUUAGCUAUUCACAAGCGAAGAGCAGCCCUUAUUUAUUCUUCUUGCCUAGGUGAAUCUAUUUUUGAAUAUCUUUUGUAGUGAUCUUGUCUGGGGAGGGUGGCGGGGAGAUCGGAUGGAGGGCACCACUCCUGCCAGUUAACUGGAUUGUUGUCCUGGAAAAACAGGCUGUGACACCAAGCUGGCAGCAAGCUGCAAAGAGGAAACAAUGUGAUGCCAUUUGGAGAAGGAAGGAAUCAUUUUCCCCAGUGACAUCUCUGGUGGGAGGCAGAACUUUAUCUUCUCUUUGCAGCUCAAAUGAAGCAUCUCAGCAGUAGCAUUAACUGCACCUCCAGGUUUGCACUUUGUCUUUUCAUUAACUUUUCUUUUCUUUUUGUGCUGUAGCAGGGAACACGCUUUCCAGGGAGGGUUUGUGGUGAGCCACUGGAGCUGCAAGCCCAGGAUGUCCCAGGUGGGUCCCCAGGCUGUGGCACAUGUGGCGCUGCUGCAGCCAAAUGGACGAGCCUGGUGGUCUGCAGUGAAGAAGGGAAAACCGAUUUAUGUCUGCCAGUCUGGUGGAGAGGGGAUUUCGGAGCAGCAGGUCAUGGUGAGCCUUGCUCCAGGUGUGCUUUCAUCCCUCCAGCUCGGACAUGUGCAUCACGUCCUGGGACAUCCUUGCAGACGGGGCAGUGCUUGACCUCCGGCAGCACCAGUGGUUUUUGUUUCAUAUGAACAAGCCACUUUUCCACGCUGGGCACUUAAACGCUCUCCUUUGAGCUUCUCCUCGGGCUGGGCUGGGCCGGUGGGGUGCGGAUCCUCCCGCCCUCCCUGCCCGUGGCCAAGGCUGCCCUCUCCCGACGCGCCGGGAUCCGAGGGAUGCGGCGGCUGAGCCGGGCCAGCAUCCCCUGCCGGAGCCCCCAAUGCUGCACCGUGCCCAGCCCAGCGCUGUCCCGCACAUCGGCACACACCAGCCCGGCCCCGGCAUCCCCCGAGCUGCCCGGCCCCGGCAUCCCCCGAGCUGCCCGGCCCCGGCAUCCCCCGAGCUGCCCGGCCCCGGCAUCCCCCGAGCUGCCCGGCCCCAUCACCGCCUGCCUCUGAUGUGGAUCCAACCCGGAUCCAACCCGCACCGCGCUCCGGCACCGCGGGGAUGCUGCUUGAGGAACCUCCUGCUGGUUUCCUUUUUACCCGACCGAUCCCAGCCCUUCCAAUCUGCCCAGUGCCUUCUUGCUUUUCGUUUCGUUUUUAUGAUCUGGUAGUGUAGGUGUGAAUCCCGUACUCCUCUGAGUUAUUUUUUGCCAGCUGAGUCUGUUUGUGCUGCAGACUGUGUGGGUGUCACCCUCGGGAAAGCCGCGUUUAGCAGUGCACUGCUCCAGGAAAAUGUUUUUAUAUUAACAGAGAUGUGAGACAAACUCUUGCACCUCUGGGGCUGGCAAACAGCUGAUCCAGGAGAGAUGACUUUUUUUUUUUCCCCCCCUUGUGAUUUUGACCUUAUUUGCUGAAAGUGAAAUAUCAUCCAGCCUUCCAGGAAAUACCACAAAUCUUCUAUCUGACAUGAGAACAUAAAUCUUCAGUAAGGGUUCAUCCAUUCUGCAUCUCAAGCCUCCAGAACCGAGUUGUGGACACUGGUGUUGGAAUCUCAGCCUCCUGAAUCCAGGGCUGCUGAACCUCAGCCCCUGCACCUCCCCAGCUUGGAGAAAAACAUCCCCAUGGGGUUGGCCCUUACUGAGCUGGUUCUGCACCAGUUCCUCUUAGAAAAAGUGGGGGGGGAUUUGCCUGAAUCACCUUGAAUCUCUUAAUUUUUUGUGGGAGACACGAAACCCUUCCCCUCCAGCUCUGUGUGUCUGGCAGAAAUGAAACACAGCUUUACAGCCCAGAGUAACCCACCUUCCCAUGCUUCAGCCUCCCCAUAUCACCUCCCAGGAGAGGCUGUUGCACUGUAGAGGGUUCAGGCUCUGCACCCCACGCUCAGCAGGACAGCCCCAGCUCACACCUCUGAAAGCAUAUUUCCUGAGAGCUUGCCUGUGGGUCCCUGACUUUGCCUUUGUGCACCAGCCUUUGUGGGUUGUGACCCCCCCUGCUUUUUGGGGACCACAAAGUCCUUUCUGAGAAGGCAGUGGAGCAGCCAUGGGGCUCACAUGUGGUUAUUUUAAGAUAACAGGUUAUUUGUGGGAAGACGUGGCUGCAAAAUUUUCCACCUCCCAUCCUCCACGAGUGGUUUAGGAGGUGUUUUUUGCUCAAGAAAUUUGUGCUUUUAUUUUUGGUCCCCUCGGGCUGUAUCCCUCAGUGUGCAAAUCUCUUUGUUUCAUGGCUUUUUCCCAGAGCAGGGGCACCCCAAACUCCACUGGAGCCAGGGAAGGACUCAGAGCCACCUUUGCAUUUUGCUGUGUGUCCUUCUGGAUCAGUUCAGUGACAUUCCCAACCCUCAGCGAGAUGGGGAUUGUGGCUUUAACUGAGCCGGCAAUGAUCCCUUCCAAAGGCUCCAAACAGCAAAAGUUUUUUGGUUUUUUUAUUGCCUGGACCACUUUUCCCUAUUUUACCACUAGAUGGGAGAGUGAGACUGGGCUAACUCAGCUGCUCCCCUCCUUAUCCCGGUAGGAAUUCGGAGAGGAGAACUGAGAGAUGCCUGAAGGUCACUCGCAAAUCCUCCCACCUCAGCAUCGGGGAACUCCCACAAUGGCUGCUUGUUGCUUAACCCCAAAAGUGCACUGUUAGGGGCACUAAGGCUUGCCUGGUGCUUUCCCAAAAUACCCCGUGGAUCCCACUCUGCCCUCAUGGAAGGGGCAUUCACUUACACAAAAGACUGGAUAUAUUCUUGGGGCAAAACACUUCAUAUUUUUCCUCAAAUCCGUCUGUCCUAGAGCAAAGGGAGAUAGGGGAAGCACUUGCAAUUCACUCCUCUCAUCCGUACCCCAAAUUCUGCCUCCCAGGAAUCCAGGUGACCCCAAAAAUUGUUUGGAGAAGUUAAAAAGUCACAGAAUCGCAGAAUGGUUGGGGCUGGAAGUGACUUUUGGAGAUGAUCUAGUCCAACACCCAAGAGCACUCCCACGUGCAGCUGAGGAGCUCCUGUGCACACUGGGACAGAGGAAGGAGCCCUUGAGCUGCUGACAGCCUGCCCAGAACAGCAGACCCAGACCUGAGAGGGGCCAGGGCGUUGAUGGCAACAGCACCCAGAACACACCAGCGGUGUGGCUUUGCUAAUCUAGGCUGCUUUCUGCCAAAAACCAACAGCUACAAAAGCAUUGUGUUCAUCAUCAUCAUCCCAGUGAAAAUCUCCCUUUAAACUGCUCAGGCUGAAAUGUCCUUGUGGGGGAUGCAGAGCUGCUGGGCCACGCUCUGCUCAGACUCUGCAGGGACAGACCUACAGCUGCUGCACUCAGCUUCAGUGUGUGCUCCCUUCAGAUGAUGGUGUCUUUGGACUCUGCUAUCAUUCUUGAAAUUUUAAUGUCAUAUUUCCUUCCAAUAAAACUCAGCUGGAGUGCAAGAACUCACUUCUGUUUCUCUCUUAGGAAAGGAAGGCCGCGGUGUCUGCACAUCACCUAAGGGGAAGGAUCUGAGGAAAAAGAGCUCAGACCCUUCAGAAAUCUUUCAAAGAGAACCCCCAGCUCUCCUUUAUCUCUUUUAAAAUUAACACAUCAUACUUUGCACAUGUUAAACAACAAAGUUCCUGAUAUAGCUUCUAAAAACCCCCAGGCCCAGUGGGGUAGUGCCAUUAUUUUAUAAAGAGGGUGACACUCCCCUGGCCAGUGACAGCCAGCACCUCAGGGACACCCUGAAUUAGAGGUUUCCACAGAGAUUAUGGGGUCUAACAGCCACCAAAGCAUGUGUCACCCAUGAAUUUGUAUAAUUCUUCCUUAAACACAGUUACACUUUUGGCUCUGUGAUGGCUCGGCCACCAGUUGCUGUUGUUUAAUCAGCAGCUACUACAAACAUCCUACCUCACCCUUUCAUUUACAGGAACCUUUGCUCUUGUAAUAAUGAAGGCAACUCACAGAUCGGGGCAGGAGAGAUUCUGAUGGUUCAGUUUGCAAAGACAACAGGGUAACACAGAGGUUGGUAAAAUCCCAGGGGGGAUUUCAGAACUGCUACUCUCACUGCAAGCCAGCACCAGCAGUCUUGAAAAAUCCCAUCUUUAUUUGUUAUUUAUUAUAUGUUUCCUAUGAAUGAAUUAUAAUAAAACACUAAAAAUUCUACUUUUGGGGAAAAAAAAAAAUCCAGAUCUGUUCUUCCUUCCUGAAGAUUUGCUGCUCGUUCUGCAACAGGAGAUGUGAAUUAUAGAAGUAUUAAUAACAGCAGUAUCAGGAAAUGAUCAUUCAGGCACCAGAAAUCCAUAUGAGACAUUAUGGCUUUAAAUAAAUUGUUCAUCGCUAUGUUAAUCUAAUCUUGUAAAUACGUGCACACUUAACUAUAUUAAAAAUGUAAAUGCUCCCAGACCUGGACUUCACAUGAUGAAUAAACAACUCCCCUUUUUUGCCUUGUCA